UGCAAUGGGUGUUUGUGAUGGAGUGAUGAGUAUUGGGUAGUCGAUGAUUUGCUGAUAAUCUGGUAGUUGUUGAUGGAGUGAUGGGUAUUUCGUUUCUGGAUUGUGUUUCUGGGUUUUGGGGGUUGUGUUUGAGGUAUAUGUAAUGGGUUUUGAGGUAGCUGUAAUGUGUUUGAGAAGCUAAGCGCCUUCUUCUUCUUCACAGAGAACUAGAAAGAGAACGGGAAGCUCUCAAGGCCUCAAUCAUCUUCUCCAGGGGUCUUUACCGAGCUUAUUCAGCAGAUGCAAGUAAAAGGUGCGCAGGUAUGGGUUUCUUUGAUGCCUCUCUUUAUGGUCCUUUUCAUGCUGGGGAUAAUUUGUUGAUUGUCUAAUGGUACUGCUAGAUCUUAGCUUAUAAUCAUUUCUAGGAAUUAUGUUUACUCUUGUUGUGAGAUUGGAGUUUCCACUGCUCUAUCCUUUUUAAAAAUGUAAAUUGUAACCAACAGUAACCCUUUCUUUCAUUAUAUCCAACUUUUCUUUAUCCAGCAAUUUUUUUAACCAAAUAGAUGACCUGGGAUUUUAGUCAAAGAAUUAUGUUGUGACUAGUUCACUUUCAUUUAUGCCAAUAUGCCUUGGUACGACCUUGCAGGUUGAGGAGUUGUAUUCAUUGGACAUUGAUUCUCUGAACAAUCUGAGGUAUGUCAGUAGCUGUUUAAGCUUUUGCCACCCUAUUAGAUAUAUUUAUAUAAUCUGUUUUAAGUUUCCUUUCUCUCUCCAUGGGCCUCUCCCUCUCAGCCCCUCUCUUUGAUCAUCAAGGCGUCGACGGCCCUCCCUCUCCUCGACAGUAAAUCGAUAAGACGAACUGACAGUCGAAUAGUUGUCUGGGUUAGGUAUGUGAUGUACUGUCAUAUACAUCAUGUUUGUAUUUUUCAGUAGUUUAGAAUUUAAGUCUCCUUGUUCUCUUCAUGUUUAUCUAUUCUGCUGUUUCCAUACUAUUCUUGUAAUCUUUGAUGACAGUUUUGAUAUCUGACUAACCUUUCAUAAUUCCAUUGUCAUUUGUUGAUUGUUAUUACUACUUGUGAACAUAUGGUUUUUGAACCAGAUUAUGAGAAAGGCAUAUCCUGCUUUUUAAUUGCUAUUGUCCAAUUAUCAUUUCCUUUUUUCUGACCAAAAGGAUAUCCAUCUCUUGACUACUUAUAAAGGUUAUGAUGAUCCAAUCUGUAUGGUCACCUCUCUCAAGUGUAAUUUCUUUUCUUUCAUCCAGAUUGCAGGUUGUUCUGGUAUUACUCCAAUGCUUCAGGUCAUUCACGCUACACUAAAAAAUCUUGAUGACACAACCAAGGGCCAGCGAUAAGUGUCAGAAGGAGAAGAGGAAGCAUACACUUAUCCUGCAUUUUCAAAGGAGAAAGCGAGUGCACUAGUGUUGCCCACUGCCACAUUUGUCAAUUCGUCCUAAGAAAUGUAUUAGUUUCAUAAGCUUUUGAUGUUCAAGUAGAUAGGGCAUGUACUAGAAUGCUUUUCUUAUUUUAAUGUUGGCUUGGAUGAAUGGGAAAUGCUCUCUUUUUACAUCUGAAGUUUAAAGUAUGGGUUGGAUUACUCAUUUAAUGGUUUUGCAAUGUUUUCUUUCUAAUUGAUCACUGUUCAUUAGGUCAAAAUGG